AGGUCUUGACAUAUAAUUGCCGAUACUAGAGAUAGUAUUUUCUCUUCGGAGACUAUUAUACAGGUGGUGCAUGGUUGUCGUCAGCUCGUGUCGUGAGAUGUUGGGUUAAGUCCCGCAACGAGCGCAACCCCUAUAUCUAGUUACCAGCACGUUAUGGUGGGGACUCUAGAUAGACUGCCGAUGACAAAUCGGAGGAAGGUGGGGAUGACGUCAAAUCAUCAUGCCCUUUAUGACCUGGGCUACACACGUGCUACAAUGGCCGGUACAACGGGAUGCCACGCAGUGAUGCGGAGCUAAACCAUUUAAAGCCGGCCCCAGUUCGGAUUGUAGGCUGCAACUCGCCUACAUGAAGUCGGAGUUGCUAGUAAUCGCGAAUCAGAAUGUCGCGGUGAAUGCGUUCCCGGGUC
rnacentral:rRNA from 1 species